GCUGGUCCUCAGCGAGGCCUGGCGCCGCCGCGCCGCGCUCUGGGGCGGCGCCGUGGCCGUGGCGCUGGUGGCGAUCCUGUUCGCCAAGGCCAGUG
rnacentral:tRNA from 1 species